UCCCGAGAUGCUAGCAUGGUUCUCAUAAACCUAAUAGGAUUAUAAUAAAUCCUAACCCAAUUAAAACUUCAUAAGUCCAAUUGAUAAAUUUACGAUUAAAUCCCUUAAUGUGUAACUCCAUAGGUUCCAUUUUAUCUAGUAGUAAGAUAUAUUGUGAUCUCCAUCACAAUAUCAUCGAAACUCUUUUCGAUAGAUUGAAAUAAUUUC
rnacentral:lncRNA from 1 species